rnacentral:misc_RNA from 1 species
UGCCACUUAUAUAUUCUGUGUGUAUUUUAGUAUUUUCAUUUAUUUUUUCUAUUGUCUAAGUUGAACAAGUAGCAUUUUGCCCAGCCUCAACACGGAAUAAUUUCAUCAAAUCUGAUUUGUACCUGCUUUAUGUUAUUGGCAUAUGCAAUUAGCCUAUAUGAUAUCUGGAAACUCUUUUUAUUACAUUUAGGUGUUCUGUUUGCUGAGCUAAUAAAGUUUACUUCUAUGCAUAAUUAUAGAAAAGAUGGUUUUGGGUGGCACACCUAGUUUCAGGGUAUUCUUUACCCAUGGAACAUCUUGAACUCUUUGCCUUUCUAUGAUCAUCCUUGAAAUGUGCUUUUUUACAGAAUCUUUGUGCUUGAGUUUUGAAUUUUUGUGUUGCAGAUCAGUUUAUGCUGUUAUUGCAGUGAAUACAAUAAAUCGUUUUAAAUUUGUUGUUCAUGUGAAACAAUUGAAUUUCAUCUUAACAAAAUUUUUUCCCUCUAUAAUUGCAAUAAAAUUGGAUAAAUUUUAACAACGGUCCCUGAACUUAUCUAGUUGUAA